AUUGAACGCUGGCGGCAUGCUUUACACAUGCAAGUCGAACGGUAACAGGUCUUCGGAUGCUGACGAGUGGCGAACGGGUGAGUAAUACAUCGGAACGUGCCUAGUAGUGGGGGAUAACUACUCGAAAGAGUAGCUAAUACCGCAUGAGAUCUACGGAUGAAAGCAGGGGACCUUCGGGCCUUGUGCUACUAGAGCGGCUGAUGGCAGUUUAGGUAGUUGGUGGGGUAAAGGCUUACCAAGCCUGCGAUCUGUAGCUGGUCUGAGAGGACGACCAGCCACACUGGGACUGAGACACGGCCCAGACUCCUACGGGAGGCAGCAGUGGGGAAGUGUGGACAAUGGGAGAAAGCCUGAUCCAGCAAUGCCGCGUGCAAGAUGAAGGCCCUCGGGUUGUAAACUGCUUUUGUACGGAACGAAAAGCCUGGGGCUAAUAUCCCCGGGUCAUGACGGUACCGUAAGAAUAAGCACCGACUAACUACGUGCCAGCCGCCGCCGUAA
rnacentral:rRNA from 1 species